rnacentral:rRNA from 1 species
GAUACCCGCUGAACUUAAGCAUAUCAAUAAGCGGAGGAAAAGAAACCAACCGGGAUUGCCUCAGUAACGGCGAGUGAAGCGGCAAAAGCUCAAAUUUGAAAUCUGGCUCCUUCGGGGUCCGAGUUGUAAUUUGCAGAGGAUGCUUCGGUUGCGGCCCCCAUCUAAGUACCCUGGAACGGGUCGUCAUAGAGGGUGAGAAUCCCGUAUGGGAUGGGGUGUCCGCGUCCGUGUGAAGCUCCUUCGACGAGUCGAGUUGUUUGGGAAUGCAGCUCUAAAUGGGUGGUAAAUUUCAUCUAAAGCUAAAUACUGGCCGGAGACCGAUAGCGCACAAGUAGAGUGAUCGAAAGAUGAAAAGCACUUUGAAAAGAGAGUUAAACAGCACGUGAAAUUGUUGAAAGGGAAGCGCUUGCGAUCAGACUCGCCUACGGGGUUCAGCCGGCUUUCGGGCCGGUGUACUUCCCCGUGGGCGGGCCAGCGUCGGUUUGGGCGGCCGGUCAAAGGCCCCUGGAAUGUAGCGCCUCUCGGGGCGCCUUAUAGCCAGGGGUGCAAUGCGGCCUGCCUGGACCGAGGAACGCGCUUCGGCACGGACGCUGGCAUAAUGGUCGUAAGCGACC